rnacentral:hammerhead_ribozyme from 1 species
GCACUGUUGAUGAGUCCAAAACAGGACGAAACAGCUGUUCAGUGC